rnacentral:rRNA from 1 species
CAUGCAAGUCGAACGAGAAUCUACUGAAAGAGUUUUCGGACGAUGGAAGUAGAGGAAAGUGGCGGACGGGUGAGUAACGCGUGAGGAACCUGCCUUGAAGAGGGGGACAACAGUUGGAAACGACUGCUAAUACCGCAUGAAGCAUAGGGGUCGCAUGAUUCUUAUGCCAAAGAUUUAUCGCUUCAAGAUGGCCUCGCGUCUGAUUAGCUAGUUGGCGAGGUAACGGCCCACCAAGGCGACGAUCAGUAGCCGGACUGAGAGGUUGAACGGCCACAUUGGGACUGAGAUACGGCCCAGACUCCUACGGGAGGCAGCAGUGGGGAAUAUUGGGCAAUGGGCGCAAGCCUGACCCAGCAACGCCGCGUGAAGGAAGAAGGCUUUCGGGUUGUAAACUUCUUUUAAGAGGGAAGAGCAGAAGACGGUACCCCUAGAAUAAGCCACGGCUAACUACGUGCCAGCAGCCGCGGUAAUACGUAGGUGGCAAGCGUUGUCCGGAUUUACUGGGUGUAAAGGGCGUGCAGCCGGGUCUGCAAGUCAGAUGUGAAAUCCAUGGGCUCAACCCAUGAACUGCAUUUGAAACUGUAGAUCUUGAGUGUCGGAGGGGCAAUCGGAAUUCCUAGUGUAGCGGUGAAAUGCGUAGAUAUUAGGAGGAACACCAGUGGCGAAGGCGGAUUGCUGGAC